AACAAACAAAGAAAAAAACAAACGUCCUCACUGUGAGCUGCGUUGAUCCAACAACAGAGGCAGGGUAGCCUAGUGGUUAGAGUGUAGAGGGGGCAGGGUAGCCUAGUGGUUAGAGUGUAGAGGUGGCAGGGUAGACUAGUGGUUAGAGUGUAGAGGAGGCAGGGUAGCCUAGUGGUUAGAGUGUUGAGGUGGUAGGGUAGCCUAGUGUUUAGAGUGGAGGGGCGGCAGGGUAGCCUAGUGGUUAGAGUGGAGGGGCGGCAGGGUAGCCUAGUGGUUAGAGUGGAGGGGUGGCAGGGUAGCCUAGUGGUUAGAGUGUAGAGGAGGCAGGGUAGCCUAGUGGUUAGAGUGUAGAGGAGGCAGGGUAGCCUAGUGGUUAGAGUGUAGAGGUGGCAGGGUAGCCUAGUGGUUAGAGUGUAGAGGAGGCAGGGUAGCCUAGUGGUUAGAGUGUAGAGGCGGCAGGGUAGCCUAGUGGUUAGAGUGUUGAGGUGGCAGGUAGCCUAGUGGUUAGAGUGUAGAGGCGGCAGGGUAGCCUAGUGGUUAGAGUGUAGAGGUGGCAGGGUAGCCUAGUGGUUAGAGUGUUGAGGUGGCAGGGUAGCCUAGUGGUUAGAGCGUAGAGGAGGCAGGUAGCCUAGUGGUUAGAGUGUAGAGGUGGCAGGGUAGCCUAGUGGUUAGGUGUAGAGGAGGUAGGUAGCCUAGUGGUUAGAGCGUAGAGGAGGCAGGUAGCCUAGUGGUUAGGCGUAGAGGAGGCAGGUAGCCUAGUGGUUAGAGUGUAGAGGUGGCAGGGUAGCCUAGUGGUUAGAGUGUAGAGGAGGUAGGUAGCCUAGUGGUUAGAGUGUAGAGGCGGCAGGGUACCCUAGUGGUUAGAGUGUAGAGGUGGCAGGGUAGCCUAGUGGUUAGAGUGUAGAGGCGGCAGGUAGCCUAGUGGUUAGAGUGUAGAGGAGGCAGGGUAGCCUAGUGGUUAGAGUGUAGAGGUGGCAGGGUAGCCUAGUGGUUAGAGUGUAGAGGCGGCAGGGUAGCCUAGUGGUUAGAGUGUAGAGGUGGCAGGGUAGCCUAGUGGUUAGAGUGUAGAGGAGGCAGGGUAGCCUAGUGAUUAGAGUGUUGAGGCGGCAGGGUAGUCUAGUGGUUAGAGUGUAGAGGUGGCAGGGUAGCCUAGUGGUUAGAGUGUUGAGGUGGCAGGGUAGCCUAGUGGUUAGAGUGUUGAGGUGGCAGGUAGCCUAGUGGUUAGAGUGUAGAGGUGGCAGGGUAGCCUAGUGGUUAGAGUGUUGAGGUGGCAGGUAGCCUAGUGGUUAGAGUGUAGAGGCGGCAGGGUAGCCUAGUGGUUAGAGUGUAGAGGUGGCAGGGUAGCCUAGUGGUUAGAGUGUUGAGGUGGCAGGUAGCCUAGUGGUUAGAGUGUAGAGGUGGCAGGGUAGCCUAGUGGUUAGAGUGUAGAGGAGGUAGGUAGCCUAGUGGUUAGAGUGUAGAGGCGGCAGGGUAGCCUAGUGGUUAGAGUGUAGAGGUGGCAGGGUAGCCUAGUGGUUAGAGUGUAGAGGUGGCAGGGUAGCCUAGUGGUUAGAGUGUAGAGGCGGCAGGUAGUCUAGUGGUUAGAGUGUAGAGGUGGCAGGUAGCCUAGUGGUUAGAGUGUAGAGGAGGCAGGGUAGCCUAGUGAUUAGAGUGUUGAGGCGGCAGGGUAGUCUAGUGAUUAGAGUGUAGAGGUGGCAGGGUAGCCUAGUGGUUAGAGUGUUGAGGUGGCAGGUAGCCUAGUGGUUAGAGUGUUGAGGUGGCAGGUAGCCUAGUGGUUAGAGUGUAGAGGCGGCAGGGUAGCCUAGUGGUUAGAGUGUAGAGGAGGUAGGUAGCCUAGUGGUUAGAGUGUAGAGGCGGCAGGGUAGCCUAGUGGUUAGAGUGUAGAGGAGGCAGGUAGCCUAGUGGUUAGAGUGUAGAGGCGGCAGGGUAGCCUAGUGGUUAGAGUGUAGAGGAGGCAGGGUAGCCUAGUGGUUAGAGUGUAGAGGUGGCAGGGUAGCCUAGUGGUUAGAGUGUAGAGGCGGCAGGGUAGCCUAGUGGUUAGAGUGUAGAGGUGGCAGGGUAGCCUAGUGGUUAGAGUGUAGAGGUGGCAGGUAGCCUAGUGGUUAGAGUGUAGAGGCGGCAGGGUAGCCUAGUGGUUAGAGUGUAGAGGUGGCAGGGUAGCCUAGUGGUUAGAGUGUAGAGGCGGCAGGUAGCCUAGUGGUUAGAGUGUAGAGGUGGCAGGGUAGCCUAGUGGUUAGAGUGUAGAGGUGGCAGGGUAGCCUAGUGGUUAGAGUGUAGAGGCGGCAGGGUAGCCUAGUGGUUAGAGUGUAGAGGCGGCAGGGUAGCCUAGUGGUUAGAGUGUAGAGGCGGCAGGGUAGCCUAGUGGUUAGAGUGUAGAGGCGGCAGGGUAGCCUAGUGGUUAGAGUGUAGAGGCGGCAGGGUAGCCUAGUGGUUAGAGUGUAGAGGCGGCAGGGUAGCCUAGUGGUUAGAGUGUAGAGGUGGCAGGGUAGCCUAGUGGUUAGAGUGUAGAGGCGGCAGAGUAGCCUAGUGGUUAGAGUGUAGAGGCGGCAGGGUAGCCUAGUGGUUAGAGUGUAGAGGUGGCAGGGUAGCCUAGUGGUUAGAGUGUAGAGGCGGCAGGGUAGCCUAGUGGUUAGAGUGUAGAGGAGGCAGGUAGCCUAGUGGUUAGAGUGUAGAGGAGGCAGGGUAGCCUAGUGGUUAGAGUGUAGAGGUGGCAGGUAGCCUAGUGGUUAGAGUGUAGAGGUGGCAGGGUAGCCUAGUGGUUAGAGUGUAGAGGCGGCAGGGUAGCCUAGUGGUUAGAGUGUAGAGGUGGCAGGGUAGCCUAGUGGUUAGAGUGUAGAGGUGGCAGGGUAGCCUAGUGGUUAGAGUGUAGAGGUGGCAGGGUAGCCUAGUGGUUAGAGUGUAGAGGUGGCAGGUAGCCUAGUGGUUAGAGUGUAGAGGUGGCAGUGUAGCCUAGUGGUUAGAGUGUAGAGGUGGCAGGUAGCCUAGUGGUUAGAGUGUAGAGGUGGCAGGGUAGCCUAGUGGUUAGAGUGUAGAGGCGGCAGGGUAGCCUAGUGGUUAGAGUGUAGAGGCGGCAGGGUAGCCUAGUGGUUAGAGUGUAGAGGCGGCAGGGUAGCCUAGUGGUUAGAGUGUAGAGGUGGCAGGGUAGCCUAGUGGUUAGAGUGUAGAGGAGGCAGGGUAGCCUAGUGGUUAGAGUGUAGAGGCGGCAGGGUAGCCUAGUGGUUAGAGUGUAGAGGCGGCAGGGUAGCCUAGUGGUUAGAGUGUAGAGGCGGCAGGGUAGCCUAGUGGUUAGAGUGUAGAGGUGGCAGGGUAGCCUAGUGGUUAGAGUGUAGAGGUGGCAGGUAGCCUAGUGGUUAGAGUGUAGAGGUGGCAGGGUAGCCUAGUGGUUAGAGUGUAGAGGUGGCAGGGUAGCCUAGUGGUUAGAGUGUAGAGGCGGCAGGGUAGCCUAGUGGUUAGAGUGUAGAGGCGGCAGGGUAGCCUAGUGGUUAGAGUGUAGAGGCGGCAGGGUAGCCUAGUGGUUAGAGUGUAGAGGUGGCAGGGUAGCCUAGUGGUUAGAGUGUAGAGGUGGCAGGGUAGCCUAGUGGUUAGAGUGUAGAGGUGGCAGGGUAGCCUAGUGGUUAGAGUGUAGAGGUGGCAGGGUAGCCUAGUGGUUAGAGUGUAGAGGUGGCAGGGUAGCCUAGUGGUUAGAGUGUAGAGGUGGCAGUGUAGCCUAGUGGUUAGAGUGUAGAGGCGGCAGGGUAGCCUAGUGGUUAGAGUGUAGAGGUGGCAGGGUAGCCUAGUGGUUAGAGUGUAGAGGCGGCAGGGUAGCCUAGUGGUUAGAGUGUAGAGGCGGCAGGGUAGCCUAGUGGUUAGAGUGUAGAGGCGGCAGGGUAGCCUAGUGGUUAGAGUGUAGAGGUGGCAGUGUAGCCUAGUGGUUAGAGUGUAGAGGUGGCAGGGUAGCCUAGUGGUUAGAGUGUAGAGGUGGCAGUGUAGCCUAGUGGUUAGACUGUAGA